rnacentral:rRNA from 1 species
AAAUUGAAGAGUUUGAUCAUGGCUCAGAUUGAACGCUGGCGGCAGGCCUAACACAUGCAAGUCGAACGGUAACAGGAAGCAGCUUGCUGCUUCGCUGACGAGUGGCGGACGGGUGAGUAAUGUCUGGGAAACUGCCUGAUGGAGGGGGAUAACUACUGGAAACGGUGGCUAAUACCGCAUAACGUCGCAAGACCAAAGAGGGGGACCUUCGGGCCUCUUGCCAUCAGAUGUGCCCAGAUGGGAUUAGCUUGUUGGUGAGGUAACGGCUCACCAAGGCGACGAUCCCUAGCUGGUCUGAGAGGAUGACCAGCCACACUGGAACUGAGACACGGUCCAGACUCCUACGGGAGGCAGCAGUGGGGAAUAUUGCACAAUGGGCGCAAGCCUGAUGCAGCCAUGCCGCGUGUAUGAAGAAGGCCUUCGGGUUGUAAAGUACUUUCAGCGGGGAGGAAGGUGUUGCGGUUAAUAACCGCAGCAAUUGACGUUACCCGCAGAAGAAGCACCGGCUAACUCCGUGCCAGCAGCCGCGGUAAUACGG